GGUUGAUCCUGCCAGUCUUAUAUGCUGGUCAAGCAGAUUAAGCCAUGCAUGUCUAAGUAUAAACUGCUCAGUUUAUUCAGUGAAACUGCGAAUGGCUCAUUAAAUCAGUUAUAGUCUACGUGAUUGUGGUUGUUUUUCCUGAUGGAUAACCGUGGGAAAGCCAGGGCUAAUACAUAGCAAAGGAGACGACUGGUGGGGGGUGACUCUCGCCUCGGAAGUCUUGAAUUUAUUAGAUUAAAAACCAAUGGUGAGGUUCGCCUCAUCACUCCCUGGAUGAUUCAUGAUAACGCAU
rnacentral:rRNA from 1 species